rnacentral:rRNA from 1 species
UCCGUAGGCGGGUAAUUAAGUCAGAGGUGAAAUCCCACAGCUUAACUGUGGAGCUGCCUUAGAUACUGGUUAUCUUGAGUUUUAGUGAAGUAGAUAGAAUGUGUAGUGUAGCGGUGAAAUGCAUAGAUAUUACACAGAAUACCGAUUGCGAAGGCAGUCUACUAACUAACAACUGACGCUAAUGGACGAAAGCGUGGGGAGCGAACAGGAUUAGAUACCCUGGUAGUCC